UGUCCACUGCCUCCACAUGCCAAGCGACCAGAUAAAAAAACUCUCUCACACAAAUCUCACCCCGGCCGUACCCCUGGCUCUCGGUCGAACUCCUCUCCCCCACGAUCUCGUCGCCGCUGCUACCACCCAUGCCGGCCGGUUCCGGCGAUCUCCGGCCGCACGCAACAUGCCCCCAAGCUCCGCCCCGCCCUCCCCUCCGUCCAGAUCCAUGCCUCAAGGUCAACACCCUUGCUCGCGGCUAGGGAUUCGGGCGCCCCCGUGUUCUUGCCGCCGAGUGCCCAGGUCGGCCCGCUGGCCAACGAGCAGCACCCCGCACCUGCACGUGCCCAGGCCGACGAGCAGUACGGGGAUUGGCCGCGGACGGAGACGAGUGCAGGCGCGGCAGCAGGAGAAUCUGUGGCGGCAACGGAUCUGAUGACCGCCGGGCCGGCUCGUCGUUCGUGGCCGGCCGGUGUCGCAGUGAGGCGCUGCCGUCCGUGGAUUCCGGUGGCUGGCUGACGGCCAAUUGCUCUUGGACGCCGCUGCAGCUGCUCGUUUCUGAAUUUUCAGUAAUGCGGCUAGCAGUCCGCGCGAUUGUGAUUCUCGUGUCGCUGAUAGCUUGGAGCAGUCGGUUCCGGUCCGUCUACUACUCGUGACUGGGAAGGAAGCAUCAUGUCGCUGAUAGUUCAGUAGGGAACACAUGGACAUGAAGCUACGACGGCGACGAAGACGAUAUCGACAUGGGGCUGCGGCGACGAUGAUGGCGACGACAUCGACAUCGACAUCGACACAGGCUACGGCGGCGACGAAGACGACGACAUCGUCAUCGCGCUGUGGCGGCGGCGACGAUGACGACAUCAACACCAUCAACACGGCCUUGUGGAGGCGCCGACGCCGACGACAUCAACACGGCCUUGUGGAGGCGCCGACGUCGACGACAUAGACGCGUGGCAUAUAUUGUGUGCGUGUGCGUGUGUUAAUUAUCUACAUCAGAUAUGUAUGAUUGAUGAUUGACUGUAUGCAUAACAUGUAUGUAUUGUGAAAUGCAUGCCUAAACUGAAA